CCAGGAAGUCGCAUGGUUGGCUGGAGAGGAUUUGGUCAGGAAUAAGAUGCAACUUCAAACCUCCUCCACUGGUUCUGUGUGAUCAGGAUGCGAAGAUCCUCACUGCCAGCUGUGAAAAAUGGAUGAUGUCCAGACACGCAAGUGCCUUCGACGUGCCACAUUUGGCAAUAAUGUGGUGUCUCCUCACUCAGAGCCUACGCUAUGGAUGGGAACCCAUAUUUUACCUGGAAC
rnacentral:lncRNA from 1 species